UACGUAGGGGGCAAGCGUUGUCCGGAUUUAUUGGGCGUAAAGAGCGUGUAGGCGGCCAGACAGGUCCGUUGUGAAAACUAGAGGCUUAACCUCUAGACGUCGAUGGAAACCGUCUGGCUAGAGUCCGGAAGAGGAGAAUGGAAUUCCUGGUGUAGCGGUGGAAAUGACGCAGAUAUCAGGAAGAACACCCGUGGCUAAGGCGGUUCUCUAGUACGGUACUGACGCUGAGACGCGAAAGCGUGGGGAGCGAACAGG
rnacentral:rRNA from 1 species